CUGUCCGCUGCCUUAGAUAUUAUAAGAAAUAUUUUCGGCAGUGUAUGUACUUUUUUUUGGACCAAAGAGCACCCAACAGCUCAGCUGUCUCCGGAAGUGUCCGGCAGCGCCUCCGGUGGCUGAAGUGUGUCAUCGCGCAGACCGAGCAGCUGCAGCAUGCAGGACUCCAAUAAACCUGGAGCCCACCUGACAGUGAAAAAGAUCUUUGUCAGUGGAAUCAAGGAGGACACAGAGGAGUAUCAUAUCAGACAGCACUUUGAGCGCUGUGGGAAGAUUCAGAUUACUGACAACUGGGAGCAAGAGAGGAUUCUGCUCCGUCACCUUUGAUGAUCACGAUACUGUGGAAAAAAUUUGUUGGUGCACAAAAAUAUCACACAAUCAACCCGCAUAACUGUGAAGUAAGAAAAGCACUUCCAAAGCAGGAGAUGCGAGCUGUUUCUAAUCAGAGAUAUCGAGGUGGAGGUAAUUUCAUGAGCAGAGGAGGAAGCUUUGGCCGAGUAGGUGGAAACUAUUGUGGGGUCCCGGUUGUGGAGGGCGGGGAAUAAAACAAGAGGGCUCAGUGAUGUCAUCCAAAAAGGAAGUUGUUUCAGAGGCGGAGGAAGUUUUUACUGAAGGUUAUUAUUAUUAUUAUAAUUUUUUUUUUUUUUAGUAACAUGGGGCAGUGAAUCAUUAAAUUGAAUCUUUACUUUGUUGAUUAAAUUGUAAAUUGAAAAAUUGAGUUUUGGAAUUUAGAGAAUGAAUUUUUUUCAGAAAGUAGUCUCUUAUGCUCACCAAGGGUGCAAUUAUUUAAUCAAAAAUAAAUUGUUGAAAUAUUAUUACA
ensembl:lncRNA